rnacentral:rRNA from 1 species
UACGUAGGGGGCUAGCGUUAUCCGGAAUUACUGGGCGUAAAGGGUGCGUAGGUGGUUUCUUAAGUCAGAGGUGAAAGGCUACGGCUCAACCGUAGUAAGCCUUUGAAACUGGGAAACUUGAGUGCAGGAGAGGAGAGUGGAAUUCCUAGUGUAGCGGUGAAAUGCGUAGAUAUUAGGAGGAACACCAGUUGCGAAGGCGGCUCUCUGGACUGUAACUGACACUGAGGCACGAAAGCGUGGGGAGCAAACAGGAUUAGAUACCCGCGUAGUCCCUGAG